GUACCCUCAAGCUCUGCUUGGUGUUGGGUGUUUGUCCCUCCUUUUUGCGUGUGGACUCGCCUUAAAGCAAUUGGCAGCCGGCAUAUUGGCCUUGGAGCGCAGCACAUUUUGCGUUUCUAGUCAUAAUUGUUGGCAUCCAGCAAGUACAAAUUCUAAC
rnacentral:misc_RNA from 1 species